rnacentral:misc_RNA from 1 species
UCCGGUUUGUCACCGGCAGUCUCGUUAAAGUGCCCAACUAAAUGAUGGCAAUUAACGACAAGGGUUGCGCUCGUUGCGGGACUUAACCCAACAUCUCACGACACGAGCUGACGACAGCCAUGCAGCACCUGUGUUCUGGCUCCCUUUCGGGCACUCCCAAAUCUCUUCGGAAUUCCAGACAUGUCAAGGGUAGGUAAGGUUUUUCGCGUUGCAUCGAAUUAAUCCACAUCAUCCACCGCUUGUGCGGGUCCCCGUCAAUUCCUUUGAGUUUUAAUCUUGCGACCGUACUCCCCAGGCGGGGUACUUAUUGUGUUAACUGCGGCACGGAAGGGGUCGAUACCUCCCACACCUAGUACCCAUCGUUUACGGCGUGGACUAC